GACAACUUCUGCUAUCACAGCAGCCCAAGGGACCCAUAUGAGCAAAACAGACUCUCCUUAGAGACGUGGCUUAGCAGUGGACUUGUAUUAGGUGAAUCAUGGAGAUGUUGGAGUAUGCCGAUGACUUCCUCAUUUCCAACGAAGCCGUGGAAACCAGCUCAUCACCAGAGAUCCCCACUCUGUUCUCUCAGAGUGACAAUUGUCUCAUUUCCACUGAGGCAAUGGAAAAGUGUUCCUUUGCUGCCACUGUGGCAAAAGAACCUGGCUGCUCUUUAAGGUCCCCUCUGCCCCCUCCUGCCAGUGCAUGGAGUGGGGCCUCUGCAGGAAAGCUCGGCUCCUCAGAUGCCUCAGUGACCAUCAGAGCCCCAUGUGGAGGUGGUGCACAGAGUGAGGAAACCGCUGAAGCUGGAUGAGGCCGUGAAAAGGCAGCUGGAGCGGCACAUGGUAAAAAUGCAGAUACAGCGGUGCUUCGGGCUACCCAAGAAGGUUCUGGCCUCCUACAAGAAGCUCUCAGAGACCACCCAGGAGCUACAAGACUACCAUCCUCCUCCACAGAGGCACACUGUGCUGCUCUACCGCUCACCCUUCCAGAAGUUCCUUAUAAACACAAGGAAGAACUCCUUUACUGUGAACACAGAAACAGGCUGUCCAGAGAGGUUGUGGAGUGUCCUUCUCUGGAGAUGUUGAAGACACAUCUGAAUGCUCUCCCAUGAGACCUGCUGUGGGAAACCUGCUUUACUAGGGGACUGGACUUGAUUUCCAGAGGUCCUUUCCAAUCUCUACUAUUCUGUAAUUCUGUUAAAUGUUCCUCAGAAUAAAAUAUAUAUAUGUAAAUAUAAAUAUAUAUAUUUUACCUGAUUAUAUACAUUUAAUAGCAUAAAUAUUUUUGUAAAAAGAACCUUUGCCUUAUAAAGCACAGCCUGUGGAAGAAAACUCACUAUGAAAUAAAGCAUUUGAAGAAAUUAGAACAGAAAACUAUAUUUCAGUUGCACAUGCCAUCAUCACUGUGCCUGUCUCCACUUGGGAGCUUGUUUUGUUACCUUCCUUUUGGCUCUUAUGAGUAUUCAUCAAUAACAUAUGUGCUUUUAGCAACCUGAAUAUUUUAUGAACUCUUCUACUCAUUUUUGGCAGCUUUUCUUUGUGCUGAGGAGAAUAGGAAAAUGUUAGGACACCAAGUAUCUUUUUGCAUCUUAUUCUGCUAUAUUGUAUUCCAUCUCAAUUUCUAGAAGUGAUUAGGAUUUUCAUACUCUGUAUUGUGUUUCAGCCGCAAAAAUGAUUGCAAGGGCCUGGUCAGUGCAUAUAACUGAUAUUUUUUUCCACUGGAUUCCAUCAAAUUGAUUGUCCUUCAUAAAGAUAAAUUAACUAAGCAGAAAUGUCUGGGUUUAAUUUCAGUUGCAUUGUUUUCAGUGGUACAAAAUAUACUUCUCUGGUUACAAUAGCAUCCAGCAGGUUUUGUAUAUUGGGUGAUGAAGGGUGGAUCCCCAAAUGUCUGAAUGUUCAUCUCUGAUAAACACUCAAUAAUCUGGCUGUCUGACAUACCUGCUGAGUCCUCAGUUUAUAAAAGUGGAAAUUUAAUGUGGACAAGACAUAAUGUGAAACCCCUGGUUCAUUGCAAUUCUAUCUGGUUUUAUACAGUUCCUGCUUUCCCCACCUUUGUAGCUUCUUUUUGGGUAAAGAUUGAUAGAGGAAGAGGGUCAGGUUUCUAGGGUCAGACCUUUAGAUCUUGGGCCAGGUCAAGGCUUUAAACACUUGACAAAGAGAAUCCCAUUUUCUUAAUCCCAUUUUAUGCAUCCUAUUCGAAAGAGAUAACAGCCUUUCAGCAACAUUUUUCUUCAGAAACUCAUCAUAAUUUCUUGGUAGCUUGUCAAUUUAUUUUGAGAUGGCAUAUCAAUACACUAAUUUUUAAAUAGAGUAACCCCAUUUGAGCAUUUAGUUGUUGCUAAGACAAGUCCAAAACAGACUUCAGACCAAAAAAAUGUUCCUGUUUAGUUCACUAGCAUGAGAAAAAUUUCUACAUCAUUCUACUGCUUUAGCUUGAUGUCUUCUUUCCACCUACCAUCCAGUAAUCUUUUUCUGACAUGUAACAAGAGUCCUGCUAGUACAGUUGUAGAGGAGGGUUAUACCUGGGUGAACAAAGAGCUGACCAGAUUCCCUCUGGCUGGGUGAGUAGAAUGAUUGCACCAAAGUAUUGCAGAGGAGCAGGAAAGUUAAUAGGUCAGUUCCAAUGGGAUAGUGGAAAUUUAGCAAAUUGAAAUGGAUUCAAAGUUUCCAGAAGUGAAUUCCCUUUCCCAUAAAUCUUUCAAUGACAUAGACUCAGGUCCUCGCGUCAAGGAUGUUUUCUUUCUAUUUCUCAAGGGUCAUCAAAUAUUCUUUACUUAGAGAUUAAAAUUUUAUAUUUAAUCAGAAAAAGCACAAAAAGAAACUUCUCACAUAGCUGAGAGAAUAAGUUUAUAUCUGAUUACAUGGGAGAAACAGGACAAGCAGAAACAGCAAUCAAAGUUUAAUUUGCAAUCUGGUGAUCUUGUGUCACAAACAAUUAAUUGAUCAGUGUUGUUUGCAUGAAGAAGUCCAAAAUCUUCAGUCAAACAUGAAAUAUAAUGCGCUAUGCACAUUUUUAAUCAGAAGAGAAAAUGAACCACGAUCCAAAGAAAAGGUAGAAAAUAGUGUAUAGAAAAAUGAAUGGAAUAAAGAAUGAAGCUGGAAUGGCAAAAUCACCCACAUUGGUAAGGAGCAUUAAAUAGUUAGCUGUUCUGACCCAUCACAUGCCAGCGGGUAAGCUAAUGUCCUGAACCUCUGCUGUGGUUGACCAAUGUGGGCAAAUCCAUUACAAGGGAAAGAACAAGCCAGAAGGAAAGGCAGUUUCACCAAAAUGAAUAUUUGGGGCCUCGCCAAAUUCUCAGUAUCCUCAUGGAAUCAUAAUAUGAGAAACAAUUUGAAACAAUCAGCCAAAGUUUUGUGACCUCCUUUACAAAGAGGAGAAAUUAACUGGGUAUGAAUUGAGGAAAUUCUCUUCAAGCUUAGGAGUUCUGUGCUGAUCAUUUCUGUAUAGAUUGUACAGUUGAAAGAUAGGUGGGGUUUGAAAAUAACAAGAAAAAAAAAACAGUACAUUAUUUCUGUAUUUCUGUUUUCACAUUUUAUAAAUGCACUUUCAUAUUUCGUCUUUUACCUUUAUUCCAAAGUCUGUAUUUCAUGUGCUACAGAUUAGGGAUAUAUAUACGUACACAUGUAUGCUAUCAAAUCACUCCGUGAUUCAAUACGAUAUUCAGUAUUCCUCCCAAAGCAAUGAACGUACCAAAUUAUUCUACAUGAAAUUCAGAUCCACAGUUUUAGUUGUCACUCACAUAAACCCUUGUAUAAGUGACCAAUACAUGCUUCCAAACACAGACAAAAUAAAGGUUCUAUAAUUUGGAAGUCUACCUUCUACUCAGAAAUUGCCAUAUAAAACAGGGUAAUAUCAAAACGUCUACAGAAUUUCUUGGACAUUUGCUUUGCUCCCUUACUAGGAUACGGAACAUUCUGUUGGAAUGGGAUUUAAAAAAAAAACAAAAGUGUAGUGGAGUUGUGAUUUAUAUUGUAUGUAUAACACCAGUUACAGCAAAGUCUUUAUCACAGAGGAAAGGUUUGAGUUGCUCUUUUCCUCUAAAAGACAGGCAGAUUCCAGAUUCAAUUAAUCUUCUCUGAAAGUUCGUGCUGUAGCCAGAUACCCUCAAAUGAGUAUACACUGUCCUCUGGUUUCUUAUGGCUCCUUCUGCGCUCCGUUAUAUGCCUGGUCUCUGACAAGCACAGCGGGUCCUUGAUGGAAAUGCAAUCUUAAAUGAAGCUUAGACCUGGUUCAUCACUGGUUUUGAAAGAAAGAAGGUUACAUCUGGAAACUGCAGAAAGGCAGUAAUUCACACUGAAGAUAAAGUUUGAUGUAUAAUAUAAAUAGAAUUGAAAUGUUUGUGUUGUUUCAACAGAUUGGCCUAUUAAUAUAUGGCCUGGUGUAGCCAGAUAUAUAUAAAUAUAUAUACUCAUGUACACACCUAGAUAUACAUACAUAUACAUACACUCCUUACAAAUAUUGCAGUUCAUACAGUGACAGAGCUAAUCCUGGAAGCUAAACUCAAAUUUAAAAGAAGCAUAUUUGUCCAGCUUGCUAUUACUAAAUGUAAGGAAUUACUGAAAGAUUUUCUAUUCUGAGACCUUUUACAAUAAUGUGUUCUACCCUGUUGCUAACUAUCAGCUAUAUCAUCUCACCACAGUCCUUCUAUACUUCCUUCGCAAUUAUUCUCCUCGGAUACUGAUGCUGACAAUAGGUGGAGGUCUGGUUACUUGCAGAAGAAAUUUCUGGCCUCAAAGAACUGAAAGGUUAAACAAGAUUCUCAAAAUUGGAGAAAAUUAUUUACAAAAUAAUGUGGUGGUGAUGUGUCAGUUGCUUACCUUUAUGUAUCAUCUGAACGCUAACAUCUCAUUUUCCAGGACAGUCCCUGCAUUUUUUCCUGUCCUCUAAUGCAAUACAAGCCACAACAGACUCAGUAAAUCUAGAGUUUAAUUGCAGCACAGAUGUGUACCUAAAGAAAUGCUUACAGAUCAGACAAGUGUCCCAGCAAGAGAUGAUUGUGCAGCCUUAGAUGCUGAAAGCUUAAUAAGCAUUGUAUAAACUGGUACGAAACGUUCAUUUUAGGCCUCAUAAUUUCCCUCUAAUUAAAUUGUGCAUAAUUCAUAGCAGAUGAAAAUCCCCUGGCUGGCUGUCAUUUGCUGUGUGGUCAUUCCCUACCUUGUGUUUGUCCAAACAUUCUUCUGAAUUAUCCAACUGUUAAACUAUUUGGUGUCAAAGUGUUUCUGGAUUGGUACUAAAGAGUUUUUAUGUUACUUGCUUAACUUUGGUCUGCAGUUUCUCCAUGCAUAAAUACACCGAGCUAUAUUAAAAACAGAGCCUUUAUCUGUGCAAGUUGCUUGGGGAGUAUCUUUCCCUGGUCUAUAAGGCAAAUAAAAAUCAUUGUUUUUGCUUUGACUUAGAGAGUUGAUUUAUAAAGGUUUACUUUUAAAGCUUCUGUUUCGAAUGUGCUAACUCCAGAGUUUUUAUAUAUUGCCCAGAUUCACUUACCCGUGUUUAGGCUAUGAUUUAUAAGCCGUGUGCUUCUGACUCAGGAGGAAUCGCUGACUUAGGACAAAGCAUUAUAAACAAGUUUUUAGUAGCUUAAUAUUUAUCUGAUUUCGGGGAAAUUACAAACGAGCAAAUGUAAAAUACAGUUCUUGACCUUAUUUUUGUUUUGUUUUCCUCUUUCAUGGCCUUUAAUAUAAUGGAAUGUAUCUUAAAAGUCAUAAUGAGAAUUAGAGAAUUUCAAACAGUAAAAUUAACCACAGCAUUGUAGUAAAAGCGUUGCGAGUUCUUUUGGUAUGAAAGUGGAAGCAUCUGCAUUGUAAAAUGCUACUUUUUACCUCUGCUACUGAAUAAAGCCUUUUUCCGUUGAUAUUUAAACAAAUUCACUGCCUACAUUUCCAGUUUGCUCCUGAGCCAGCAACAUCUUGCAGAUGAUUUCUCCACCUGGAGUUAGAUAUACACCCUUCUUUCUCAUUACUGGCACAAACAAGUCCCGACAGGGAAGUUUGGGAUGUACAUUUACGUUAAUGGGUGUAGAAGAGACAGUAAAAAAUGUAGAAAAGACAGAAUAUCACGUUCUCUGAUGUUCUGUCACAAAGACACAAGUACAGCUAUGUAUUUCAUGUAUUAUCUGUUUCUGUUUCUAACUGGUGACAAGACAAUGUAAAGCUUUAGAAACUUGUAGUUUGACAUAUAUAUAUAUUUUUCCUACCUCUGUGACAUCCAUUCAGUCCUUUCAGUCUAAACAACUAAACUUUAGCUGUCAUUAAUUGCUGUGUGCAGUGUGAUGUGCAAACACUUCAAGCACAUGGGGCUUUCUUAUAUAUGAAAGUUACUUGAACUCGUUUUCCUUCUUUAAUGUGCAGUCAUGAAAAAUGGAAAUACACUGG
ensembl:lncRNA